GAGACUUUCGUAGAGAAUUAGAAAAACAAAACUCUUAACAAGAAAUCAGAGACCAUAUUCUCUACUAUGGAUACUGUAACAAAAAGCUCUAUAACUGUCUUUCUUGUAAUGGUCUUGACAAUUUCGUUUUCUUCUUACGAUGUUUCUUCUUACAAUGUUUCGGAUUGGCCACCGAUCAAACCAGCAAAAUGUCCUCUAUGGCUUUUCAACUGUGUAGGUAUACUUGAUAAUCAUGCAUGCUUCCAUGACUGUUCUGAGAUGAAAGGAUACAAGCAUGGAUACUGCAUUGGAGAUCCUCUACGCUGUUGUUGCACUCACGACUAGCUAGCUAUAUCUAAUGGCGAAUUGAGCGUUAAUUUCCAUAUGUUGUUGCUUUUCUUGUUUUUUUUUUUUUUAAUAAUGAAAUAAAACAUAAAUGAGCAGUAAACAGAAGAAACAAAAAAAAAUGCCGACAAAAAAAAACAAAAGGGUUAUAUUAAUUUGUAUAGAGACAGUUAACCUAAAAAUUAAGAACAUACCAGUUAUUUACUUAUUUAUG